AAGUCGUAACAAGGUUUCCGUAGGUGAACCUGCGGAAGGAUCAUUAACACGUAUCCAAACGUUAAAACCCCCCGCGUGAACUUUCAUCCUACUUGUAACCCGCUUCGCCAUCUCUGAUAAAUCAUAGCCCGGAAAGUUGUAGUGAUUCAGAGACCUCUGGCUACGUGCGAACAUUGGAACAGUUACAAUCGAGCGGUAGUUCUAGAGGCAAUGUUUCCCCAAGCAGUCAGUGUCGGAAAGUGUCAUUGAUUGUGCAAGGAUUGCCAAAGGGUCCCCAUGCCCCCUAAUAACCCCACAGUUUAAUGUGAAACUCAAUGUAAUACAUUGGGUAGAAAAACCGAACAACUGUUAACAAUGGAUAUCUUGGUUCUC
rnacentral:misc_RNA from 1 species